GGGUUGUGAGGUUAAGCGACUAAGCGUACACGGUGGAUGCCCUGGCAGUCAGAGGCGAUGAAGGACGUGCUAAUCUGCGAAAAGCGUCGGUAAGGUGAUAUGAACCGUUAUAACCGGCGAUGUCCGAAUGGGGAAACCCAGUGCAAUUCGUUGCACUAUCGUUAACUGAAUACAUAGGUUAACGAGGCGAACCGGGGGAACUGAAACAUCUAAGUACCCCGAGGAAAAGAAAUCAACCGAGAUUCCCCCAGUAGCGGCGAGCGAACGGGGAGCAGCCCAGAGUCUGAAUCAGCUUGUGUGUUAGUGGAACGGUCUGGAAAGUCCGACGGUACAGGGUGAUAGUCCCGUACACCAAAAUGCACAGGCUGUGAACUCGAAGAGUAGGGCGGGACACGUGGUAUCCUGUCUGAAUAUGGGGGGACCAUCCUCCAAGGCUAAAUACUCCUGACUGACCGAUAGUGAACCAGUACCGUGAGGGAAAGGCGAAAAGAACCCCGGCGAGGGGAGUGAAAAAGAACCUGAAACCGUGUACGUACAAGCAGUGGGAGCACCUUCGGGUGUGACUGCGUACCUUUUGUAUAAUGGGUCAGCGACUUAUAUUCUGUAGCAAGGUUAACCGUAUAGGGGAGCCGCAGGGAAACCGAGUCUUAACUGGGCGUUAAGUUGCAGGGUAUAGACCCGAAACCCGGUGAUCUAGCCAUGGGCAGGUUGAAGGUUGGGUAACACUAACUGGAGGACCGAACCGACUAAUGUUGAAAAAUUAGCGGAUGACUUGUGGCUGGGGGUGAAAGGCCAAUCAAACCGGGAGAUAGCUGGUUCUCCCCGAAAGCUAUUUAGGUAGCGCCUCGUGAACUCAUCUUCGGGGGUAGAGCACUGUUUCGGCUAGGGGGUCAUCCCGACUUACCAACCCGAUGCAAACUACGAAUACCGAAGAAUGUUAUCACGGGAGACACACGGCGGGUGCUAACGUCCGUCGUGAAGAGGGAAACAACCCAGACCGCCAGCUAAGGUCCCAAAGUCAUGGUUAAGUGGGAAACGAUGUGGGAAGGCACAGACAGCCAGGAUGUUGGCUUAGAAGCAGCCAUCAUUUAAAGAAAGCGUAAUAGCUCACUGGUCGAGUCGGCCUGCGCGGAAGAUGUAACGGGGCUAAACCAUGCACCGAAGCUGCGGCAGCGACACUAUGUGUUGUUGGGUAGGGGAGCGUUCUGUAAGCCUGCGAAGGUGUGCUGUGAGGCAUGCUGGAGGUAUCAGAAGUGCGAAUGCUGACAUAAGUAACGAUAAAGCGGGUGAAAAGCCCGCUCGCCGGAAGACCAAGGGUUCCUGUCCAACGUUAAUCGGGGCAGGGUGAGUCGACCCCUAAGGCGAGGCCGAAAGGCGUAGUCGAUGGGAAACAGGUUAAUAUUCCUGUACUUGGUGUUACUGCGAAGGGGGGACGGAGAAGGCUAUGUUAGCCGGGCGACGGUUGUCCCGGUUUAAGCAUGUAGGCUGAUUGUCCAGGCAAAUCCGGAUAAUCAAGGCUGAGGUGUGAUGACGAGGCACUACGGUGCUGAAGUAACAAAUGCCCUGCUUCCAGGAAAAGCCUCUAAGCAUCAGGUAACAUUAAAUCGUACCCCAAACCGACACAGGUGGUCAGGUAGAGAAUACCAAGGCGCUUGAGAGAACUCGGGUGAAGGAACUAGGCAAAAUGGUGCCGUAACUUCGGGAGAAGGCACGCUGGUGUGUAGGUGAAGUCCCUGCGGAUGGAGCUGAGACCAGUCGAAGAUACCAGCUGGCUGCAACUGUUUAUUAAAAACACAGCACUGUGCAAACACGAAAGUGGACGUAUACGGUGUGACGCCUGCCCGGUGCCGGAAGGUUAAUUGAUGGGGUUAUCCGUAAGGAGAAGCUCUUGAUCGAAGCCCCGGUAAACGGCGGCCGUAACUAUAACGGUCCUAAGGUAGCGAAAUUCCUUGUCGGGUAAGUUCCGACCUGCACGAAUGGCGUAAUGAUGGCCAGGCUGUCUCCACCCGAGACUCAGUGAAAUUGAACUCGCUGUGAAGAUGCAGUGUACCCGCGGCAAGACGGAAAGACCCCGUGAACCUUUACUAUAGCUUGACACUGAACAUUGAGCCUUGAUGUGUAGGAUAGGUGGGAGGCUUUGAAGCGUGGACGCCAGUCUGCGUGGAGCCAACCUUGAAAUACCACCCUUUAAUGUUUGAUGUUCUAACGUUGGCCCUUUACCGGGGUUGCGGACAGUGUCUGGUGGGUAGUUUGACUGGGGCGGUCUCCUCCCAAAGCGUAACGGAGGAGCACGAAGGUUAGCUAAUCUGGUCGGACAUCAGGAGGUUAGUGCAAUGGCAUAAGCUAGCUUGACUGCGAGCGUGACGGCGCGAGCAGGUGCGAAAGCAGGUCAUAGUGAUCCGGUGGUUCUGAAUGGAAGGGCCAUCGCUCAACGGAUAAAAGGUACUCCGGGGAUAACAGGCUGAUACCGCCCAAGAGUUCAUAUCGACGGCGGUGUUUGGCACCUCGAUGUCGGCUCAUCACAUCCCGGGGCUGAAGUAGGUCCCAAAGGGUAUGGCUGUUCGCCAUUUAAAGUGGUACGCGAGCUGGGUUUAGAACGUCGUGAGACAGUUCGGUCCCUAUCUGCCGUGGGCGCUGGAGAAUUGAGGGGGGCUGCUCCUAGUACGAGAGGACCGGAGUGGACGCAUCACUGGUGUUCGGGUUGUCAUGCCAAUGGCACUGCCCGGUAGCUAAAUGCGGAAGAGAUAAGUGCUGAAAGCAUCUAAGCACGAAACUUGCCCCGAGAUGAGUUCUCCCUGAGACUUUAAGUCUCCUGAAGGAACGUUGAAGACGACGACGUUGAUAGGCCGGGUGUGUAAGCGCAGCGAUGCGUUGAGCUAACCGGUACUAAUGAACCGUGAGGCUUAACCUUACAACGCCGAAG
rnacentral:rRNA from 1 species